rnacentral:rRNA from 1 species
CGCCUUGCCAGCCCGCUCAGAACUUAAAGGAAUUGACGGGGCCGCACAAGCGUGGAGCAUGUGGUUAAUUCGAUGAUACGCGAGAAACCUUACCUGGGCUCAAAUGUAUGUUGACGUAUUCUGAAAGGGAUACUUCUUCGGACAAUAUACAAGGUGCUGCAUGGUUGUCGUCAGCUCGUGCCGUGAGGUGUCGGGUUAAGUCCCAUAACGAGCGCAACCCCUAUCAUUAGUUGCCAUCAGGUCAAGCUGGGGACUCUAAUGAAACUGCCUACGCAAGUAGUGAGGAAGGUGGGGAUGACGUCAAGUCAUCAUGGCCCUUACGGCCUGGGCUACACACGUGCUACAAUGGUCGGUACAAAGGGUUGCCAAGCCGCGAGGUGGAGCUAAUCCCAUAAAACCGAUCGUAGUCCGGAUCGCAGUCUGCAACUCGACUGCGUGAAGUCGGAAUCGCUAGUAAUCGUGAAUCAGAAUGUCACGGUGAAUACGUUCCCGGGCCUU